UCAGUGUCUUGUGCUGGAAGGAUAUUCCCCUGACAGUGUGGUACAUGAUACUGCACAGAUAUGUAAGGUCAUCACGAAGGGCACAUCUGAGCAAUAAGCUGUCAAGGAAAGAGUAUGGAAUUUGCCUCUGAAUUCUGAAGGCAUCCUGGACACAGUGUCAAGGUGACUCAAAGUCACAUGCAGUUUGAUCAAGUGUCACAGCAUCUUAAUUUGACUGAGAGGGAUGACAUAUGAAACGGACUUAAUAUUUCCAGUUUGACUGUCUUAUUGUAGAUGUUGGUUCCACAAUUUGGUAUUUUGACCCUGUUUUUUUCCCCAGUUCAGGGAGAAUAUCCAAUGGAAAGUUCAUCGCCUUCAAACUCCCCACAUUCUCCCUUGCCUUUCAUUUCUUCCAUACAGGACAUUUUAAUACAUGGGAUAAAUUGACACAUACCUCAUAUUCAGCUUUGGUAUUUUAUUCACAUUAUCACAUGUGCAGGACAUAAAGAGACAUUCCAUCUGUAUGGUUACUUUCUCUGACAUGGCUGCGGCGAGUACCUGAGAAUGCUUCUUAUACCAAUUAUAUAAACUAUUUCUUUUUAUCACACUAAAUCAUC
rnacentral:lncRNA from 1 species